GAGCUGUGAUGAUCAUCUUGCUCAUGUGAUGGUAGGGUCCAUCACCAAAGUCUGAUCAAAUUGAUGAGAAAAAGCAUAUCUGAGCUC